GCCUCGGUAGCUUAGCUUGGCCAAAGCGAUGGCUUCGUAUCAAAAAGAGGAAAAGCCAUUUACCGCGGGUUCAAAUCCCGCCCGAGGCU
rfam:Euryarchaeota archaeon HMET1 HMET1_1, whole genome shotgun sequence.